AACGAACGCUGGCGGCGCGUCUUAAGCAUGCAAGUCGAGCGGCAAGAGUAGCAAUACUCCUAGAGCGGCGGACUGGUGAGUAACGCGUGGGUGAUCUGCCUCGAGAUUGGGGAUAGCACGUGGAAGCACGUGGUAAUACCGAAUACGUUCGCCAGGCUGCGGUUUGGCGAGGAAAGGCGCGAAUGCGCCGUCUUGAGAUGAGCCUGCGUCCGAUUAGCUAGUUGGUGGGGUAAAAGCCUACCAAGGCGAUGAUGGGUAGCCGGCCUGAGAGGGUGUACGGCCACAUUGGGACUGAGAUACGGCCCAAACUCCUACGGGAGGCAGCAGCUAAGAAUAUUCCGCAAUGGACGAAAGUCUGACGGAGCGACGCCGCGUGGAUGACGAAGGCCGUGAGGUUGUAAAAUCCUUUUAUUGGGGAAGAAUAAGCGGAGGAGGAAAUGCCUUCGUGAUGACAUGAACCGAUGAAUAAGCCCCGGCUAACUACGUGCCAGCAGCCGCCGUAAUAC
rnacentral:rRNA from 1 species